rnacentral:misc_RNA from 1 species
GGAACAGGAGGGAAACACGAGAAAGGGAAAAAGAAAAUCUUGUAGUGAGGAAGGAAAAAAAUUCCACGAAGAGAAGCCAAAAAAACUUAUGAUUAUAUUCUCUAUCUAGUUUUGCUCGGACAUAGGCAAUGCAGAUCUAAAGCUAAGAUACCAAAUUGAUGUAAAAACGCAAAAAACACUCAAAGGGGAAAAGAAAUGAACUCUCAAAUCUAUUAGUUCUCAAUUGUUAUUAUCAAUAAUGAUAAGCUCUACUAAAAUGCCUAGAUGACAUAGGUAUUUAUAAUAUGAUAACUAGUCCUAUAGUAAAAAAAUACUAAAUC